rnacentral:rRNA from 1 species
CCUACGGGGGGCAGCAGUGAGGAAUAUUGGUCAAUGGACGAGAGUCUGAACCAGCCAAGUAGCGUGAAGGAUGACUGCCCUAUGGGUUGUAAACUUCUUUUAUAUGGGAAUAAAAUGUUCCACGUGUGGGAUUUUGUAUGUACCAUAUGAAUAAGGAUCGGCUAACUCCGUGCCAGCAGCCGCGGUACUACGGAGGAUCCGAGCGUUAUCCGGAUUUAUUGGGUUUAAAGGGAGCGUAGGUGGAUUGUUAAGUCAGUUGUGAAAGUUUGGGGCUCAACCGUAAAAUUGCAGUUGAAACUGGCAGUCUUGAGUACAGUAGAGGUGGGCGGAAUUCGUGGUGUAGCGGUGAAAUGCUUAGAUAUCACGAAGAACUCCGAUUGCGAAGGCAGUUCACUGGACUGCAACUGACACUGAGGCUCGAAAGUGUGGGUAUCAAACAGGAUUAGAUACCCUUGUAGUC